CAUUGCCAUGGAAAGGGGUGGUAACUCCCAGGUAUUGCCGUGUCAAUGGUAAACUGACCUGGCACACUGGUGGGUGUGUCUUAGGGAAAGCUGCUUCCCUCCCAGCUCUGUUUUAGUUAGUCCUGAACUUGGUCCGGUGUCCAAGCCCCACCUCCAGAGUCAAGUCCUGCCUCCUAUCUCAAGAUAAUCAGAAGGAGCGGAAGUCUGAAAACAACCAAUCAUCCUGGAAGAAGACCCUGAGCUUUAGAUAAGACUACAGCUCCAGCUGACACCUUGAUUUCAGCCCCAUGAGACCCUGAGCAGAGAAUCCGGUUGAGCCGUGCUUGGAUUUUGACCUAUAGAGCUGUGAGAUAAUACAUUUGUGUUGCUUUAGUUGAUGCACUUCUGUCAAUUUGUUACACAGCAAUGAGAACUGAAUAAGGGAGAAACAAAUGCUGGGUAGACAGAAGCGACGGAUGUGCAUGAGGAGCUGAGACAGACAGCUGCCUGGAAUUGAGCCUUACUUAACCUGGAAGGUAUGACUAUGUCUGUGAAUCCUCAUUGGAAGAAGUUUUAUUGGUCAGACAUCCUGUUCCAUGUCAGCCUCUCCCUCUAGGAUCUUUUGCUUCCUGCAAGGAGUGGGGCCUGCAUCCUGUUGUACCUUGUCAUCUGGCUCUGUGGACAGGCCUUUCUGGUCUUCACACUGAUGCAGGUACUAACUCAAUCUCAGCCGGUCACGGUGGUUCACGCCUCUAAUCCCAACACUUUGCGAGGUGGAGACGGGUAGAUCGCUUGAGGUCAGGAGUUCAAGACCAGUCUGGCCAACAUGGCAAAACCCCAUCUCUACCAAAAACACAAAAAUUAGUGGGGUGUGGUGCCCCAUGUCUAUAGUCCCACCUACUUGGGAAGCUGAGGUGGGAGAGUCACUUGAACCCUGGAGGCAGAGGCUGCAGUGAGCUGAGAUGGUGCCACUGCACUCCAGCCUGGGUGACAGACAGAGACUGUCCCCCCACCCCCGAAAAAAAAAAUCAAUCUUGCAUUCCUAACAUCAGUCGCACUUGGUCAUGGUACGUAAUUCUUUUUGUAUGCUACUAGAUUCGGUUUUCUACUAAGGCAACCACUAUUAAUUAUUAAAAACUGCACAGAUGAUCUGAACAUUGUACAAAAACUUAAGCAGAAUUCUUCUAUGGAAGGCUUUGUUUUCAGGUUAAAAUAAGGCAUGUUCACAAUUAGUAAUACAUGAACUAUUAUCUUCUAGUAAUUCUUGCCCGUAUGAGCAUAAAGCCACUACAGAUAUUCCGGAAAUGAACUCAGACCUUGACUUGCACAUAGUAAUAACAGAAAAAGGCACUGCGAAUCCCCAAUAGCCGCUUUAUAAGAAAGGAAUCUGAGUCAAAUUCUUAGACAUCAGUUUAAAGUCUAGAAGACAAAGUAACCUUUAAGAAAAAGACCUAACAUCAGCCGGGCACGGUGGUUCACCAAUCCCAGCACUUUGGGAGGCCGAGGCAGGCAGAUCACAAGGUCAGGCGUUCGAUAACAGUGUGGCCAAUAUGGUGAAACCUUGUCUCUACUAAAAAUACAAAAAUUAGCUGGGCAUGGUGGUAGGUGCCUGCAGUCCCAGCUAAUGGGGAGGCUGAGGCAGGAGAAUUGCUUGAACCCGAGAGGCAGAGGUUGCAGUGAGCCAAGAUGACGCCAUUGCACUCCAGCUUGGGCGAUAGAGUGAGACUCGGUCUCAAAAAAGAAAAAUAAAAAUAAAGACAGAAAAAGAAAGAAAAAGACCUAAUAUCAUCUAAAAUGAAAUCAUACAAACAACUUUUCCAUGAUGUUCUCAAUGAAAAGAUUUCUUACCAGUGUUCUCUCUGAUUUUCGAACAAAUGGAAAUUUUUCCACCAGUAUUGGCAUGAGAAACCACGGUGCCCUAUUUUUAAAAAAUUAAAUCAAUCCAUGUUGACUUUACUUUCUAGAAAAGGAAUAAAAAGGAAAACUACCAUUCUAAAAGCAAAUAUCGAUAGACAUAGGAGGCAAACAGGAACCCUUACCUCAAAGAACUGGAACUUUUUUUGUUUUUUGAGACGGAGUUUCGCUCUUGUUGCCCAGGCUGGAGUGCAGUGGCACAAUCUCGGCUCACUGUAACCUCUGCCUCCCGGGUUCAAGCGAUUCUCCUGCCUCAGCCCCCCAAACAGCUGGGAUUACAGGCAUGCGCCACCACGCCCACCUAAUUUUGUAUUUUUAGUAGAGACGGGGUUUCUCCAUGUUGGUCAGGCUAGUCUCGAACUCCCGACCUCAGGUGAUCCGCCCGCCUCAGCCUCCCAAAGUGCUGGGAUUACAGGUGUGAGCCACCGCGCCCGGCCAGAACUGGAACUUACAAUGUAUAGCUUCUGAGAAAGUCUAUAACAACUUAGAGAAAAUAAGCUUCUGUUAACUCUGAUAUCAACAGCAAAUCAAAGAGGGAGCUUCUCUCCCACAGAAACAUAACAGCACUUUUGCUGACAUUUCCCACUACACAUGUAUAUUAUUUUUAAAAGAAGAAAAAAUAAUCAAGUUGGAUUUUUUUAAGUUAACAAAUAAUCAACAGACAGAGGGAACUAGAAAUCCACCCCUCCAAAAGAAACCCACAAACCUGAAAAGCUUUUCUUAGAAGUGCAAUUUUUAUUCAUAUGGCAUGACACAAACACACCCAGGGGUUUCUCACUGAAAAAUUUUGGAUAGCAUAUCUUGCUAUUAUUUGCAAGGCUCUGUGAUAUGUGUCAAAAUUUGCAGGAAGAUCUGAAAGAAGAAAAGUUCAGAGUAUGAGCAUCAAAACAAAACUGAAGGGCGACAUGCUUGAAACUAAAAAUAAAUGCUGGCCGGGCACAGUGGCUCACGCCUGUAAUCCCAGCACUCUGGGAGGCCGAGGUGGGUGGAUCACCUGAGGUCAGGAGUUCGAGACCAGCCUGACCAAUAUGGUGAAACCCCAUCUCUACUAAAAAUACAAAAAUUAGCCGGGCAUGGUGGCAAACGCCUGUAGUCCCAUCUACUCAGGAGGCUGAAGCAGGAGAAUCACUUGAACCUAGGAGGUGAAGGCUGCAGCGAACCAAGAUCACACCACUGUACUCCAGCCUGGGCAACAGAGCGAGACUCUGUCUCAAAAAACAAACAAACAAACAAAAAGUGACAUACUUGAAGCUAAAAACACAUGCUAACCAAAACGGAAUAAUUUAUCAGAGAAAUAAUAAUUUCAAGACUUUUCUCCACCAGCAUCAAUGAAAAUUAAAUGGACUAAUUAUAUAAAUAAUGCAUUCAGGACAACUGACUGCAUAUCAAUGGUAAAUAUAACAAAAAGAUUACAUCAAAAGUUGUCAUUUGUUGCAGUCUACUUAUUAGAAUAGAUGCCAGGUAUUCUGUGCUUUACUUUUUUUUUUUUAAAGAAGACAGAGUCUUGCCACCAGGCAGAGCUUGAACUCCUGGGCUCAAGCAAUCCACCCACUUAAGCCUCCCAGGUAGCUGUGACUAAAGACACACACUACCCUGCCUAGUUCUACUUUAAGCCUUUUUUAAGAAAAUAUUUGAAAAAAAAUGUUUUUUUGCAGAGACAAGGUCUCACUAUGUUGCCCAGGCUGGUCUCAAACUCUUGGCCUCAAGUGAUCCUCCCAUCUUGGCCUCCCAAAAUGCUGGGAUUAUGGGUGUAAGCUACUGUGCCCAGGCUUUAAACCUUUUUAUACUUACUAUCAUCUUCAUCAUCAGAAUCUGAAACAUCUACAUCGCCUUCCUUAAUGAUCACUCAGGCUUUUGAGGGAAAAAGAAAAUAUGUUGUUCUGUCAUUGAUCUAGACAAUGAAUGGCUAUACAAAAAAAGUUAUUGACCUAGACAAUGAACAGCUAUAAAAAAAGUUAUUUUUCCAUAAUCCAAAGUUAGCCCAAUGAUUAAUUAAAUGCACAAUCUGAAAAAAAGUAAUGCAACUUUAUAGUUUUUAAAUGGCUAAAAAUUCCUAGAUUUCACCAGGAGUUCAAUAAAGCAAGUUAUAAUUCAUCAAACUCACAGCAACAAAUGAAUCUAGACACCUCCAUAGGGGUCAUUACGGGGAAUAUAUGUCUACCAGACCUGGUGCCAAUAUGCAUCUGGAAUCUUCCAUGGUAGCAGUCUCUCAUAUAUAAGGGGAAGGUGGUAUUUUAACAAAGAAGUAUUAAAAAGAAAAGAAAAGAAAAUUCCAAGCAAGCAAAGAGUAAUGACUUACGAGGCACAAAAUGGGAAGCAAUCAUGCUGAGACACGGUCUGAGGAAAACAGUCUAUGCUGAUACAAGAUUACCAAGAAAAGCCAAAUACUCUUCCACUACUGUUUGACUUCUAUUCAACCAAGGCAAUCUCUAGAGUGGGGGAAGAAAGAUAAAAGCAGCAUGUUAUUAAUAUAACAUAUACUAUUACCAAAGUUCUGAAUUACAUACUUGACAGUAAAAUAAAUGGUGAACUUACCAAUAUAAUACUGAUAAGUUGCUCAAAGUCUUUUGUCAAGUACAUGACAGAAGAACGGAAUUCUAGCAGCCAGUUGAUGAUCUGGUCAUCCUUAAGUUAAACAAAGAGUACUUUCAAAAUCACAAAUCCUCUAAGAUAACAGAAAUUUACAGCUAUCUUAUAUCAAUCAUUUAUCAAGAAUAGGUUGGGGGGAAAAGGUCACAAACUUGGAAGGAAAUCAAAACUGGGUAUUAAAACAGAAAAAGAUGUCACAAUAAACUUAAUCGUUUUAAGAAAGUAAUCUAGUAACUCUAAUACACAGGAGAAAGACUUAAAUGCAAUACUUCAGCCUGAUCACUUUUGUUUGCCCUGAAAAAGUGAAAUCACCUCAAAUGUUGACACCUGGGACUUUUAAAAACUGCAGAAUUCUAGCAGAUUGAAAUAUUAGAAGAUCACAAAGGAACAAUAGCUACCUCUAUUUCCUCUAUAUUCAAGCUGACCAGGAAGCAUGCUGAUAAAAUUCAGUCUAGGCUGAUCAAUUGGGGUCAUGAAUAAACAUAACUUUUCUAAACCAAAUCUGUGGCUGAGUUUAAAUAUAUUAUGAUGUGUUUGUUCUGUAUAAAUGAUAGCCCCAUUCCUCCAUGAAAUAUUUUUCAGGCAAUCAAAUUACUGUUCAUAGUAAUUGUUAGUGACAUGAGAAGAACUGCUAAAUUUGAAACGCAAGGUAUAAAAUACAGUGUCAAUUAUGUAAAAUAUUACUAUAUUAAUUAUAUUCAUGCAUAUAUACUGCACAGGACAAAAACCAUUAAGAAAAAGCCCCUAAUUUGUGGAAGGCUUAGACAUAUAAAUAAAAGCAACACAAGGUCAUCAUACCUACAGGGAUAUUCAUAUGGAGUUAUCAUUUAGUGAGAAUACACCAUAUGCCAGGCAUGGUGCCUGACACUCCGCAUAUAUAUCUUCUUCUAAUCCUAAGAACUCUGCAAGAUGUUUAGUUAUUCCCAUUUUGCUGUUCAGGAAGCUGAGGCUAAGAACGAUUAAUAAGCAAUCUGCCCAACCAAGAGGCCAGUAAAGAAGCAGGUCCAAACCCAUCUGUCUCGGUCAAGGCUAUCCUCUGUCCACCAUCCCACAUGCCUCCCUAUAUGCGGAGAAGAAGCUGUCCCCUUUUCCCCACCUUAAUUCAGCUACUGAGUGCUUACUAUGCCAUAUCCAUGUGUCAAACUCCCACAGAUCAACCAUUUUCUGAUGAAAUCCCAAGUAGCCUGGCAGUAAAAUAAAGUAAAACCACAACUCAUUUGUACUAUGGUAAUUUCAUAUGUCCAAAACUGUUAAGGAUAACAUUAACGGUAGCUCACUAAGGCCAAAGGCAUGUAGAAAACAAGCUAAGUUAGUGUGUAAAUAAAAUAAUCUAUCCUAUCUCUUUUCCACUAAAAAGACUGCAACAAAACUAUAAGGAUAACAUUUAAACUGUACCAUUUUUAAAAGUAAAUCAGGCUGGGGGUGGUGGCUCACACCUGUAAUCCCAACACUUUGGGAGGCCGAGGUGGGUGGAUCACCUGAGGUUGGGAGUUCGAGACGAGCCUAACCAACAUGGAGAAACCCCGUCUCUACUAAAAAUACAAAAUUAGCUGGGCGUGGUGGUGCAUGCCCAUAAUCCCAGCUACUCGGGAGGCUGAGGCAGGAGAAUUACUUAAAAAACUCGGAGGCAGAGGUUGCAGUGAGCCAAGAUCAUGCCACUGCACUCCAGCCUGGGCAACAAGAGCAAAACUAUGUCUCAAAAAGAAAAAAAAAAAAGUAAAUCAGUUGCAGACUUUGAUGCUUUAGUACUGAACUAUUAUUAUUUCUACUAGCAGGCAGGAACAGUGGCUCAUGCCUGUAAUCCCAGCACUUUUCGGAGGCCAAGGCAGGAGGAAACUGCUUGAGCCCAGGAAUUUGAGACCAGCCUGGGCAACAUAGGGAGACCUCGUCUCUAGAAAAAUUAGCCAGGCAUGGUAGCACAUGCUUGUGGUCCCAGGUGCUCGGGAGCCUGAGGUGGGAAGAUUGCUUGAGCCUGGGAGGUUGAGGCUGCAGUGAGCCAUGAUCGGGCCCAUUACACUCCAGCCUGGGUGACACAGCGAGACCCUGUCUCAAGACGAAAAAAGUUCUACUUGCAACACUCCACACAACUAGUGCAAUUCUUGGUAUGUCAAAAUACCAAGAAUGAGAACUGCUGAUACAAAAUACAGUGGAACACAAAGAAAAUGUCCCUUUGUAUCUGGGAAAGGAGGCAGGGGUCAGGAAAAGCUUUAAAGAGAAAGUGAUGCUUCAGCUGUCUUUAAACAGUAACACAGUUGAGUCUUUUCUGGAAGUUCUGCUUCUUACAGAAGGAAAAGUAUGUUUUCAGAAAACUGAAAAAUGUUCAGUAUGGCUGGCAUGUAUAGUGACCAAGCCAACAGAUAAUAAAUCUGGGGAACAAAGAAGCACCAAAUAGACCAUGGAGGGCCUUGUAAACCAGAUCUGUAACUAGAGAGAUCUGGAAGUGUGGGAAAUAGACUCAAUGAAGGAACAACCAUGUGCUUAGAGAGAACCAGGGAAAGCUCCAUGAAAGAUGGAGCCCAGCCAAGAGUGGACAUGAUAAGUUUGGAGCAUCUAUGAUGAUUCUGGGUAAAUGCAUCUAACAGACAGUUAAGAAACAAGUCUAGGCCGGGUGCAGUGGCUCACGUCUAUAAUCCCAGCACUUUGGGAGGCUGAGGCGGGUGGAUCACUUGAGGUCAGGAGUUCGAGACCAGCCUGGCCAGCAUGGUGAAACCCCAAAUCUACUGAAAAUACAAAAAAAUUAGCUGGGCGUGGUGGCACAGCUACUCAGGAGGCUGAGGUGGGAGGAUGGCUUGAACCCAGGAGGCAGAGGUUGCAGUGAGCCAAGAUCAUCCCACUACACUACAGCCUAGGUGACAGAGCAAGACUCUGUUCUGCCCAUCCCCAAAAAUGAAAAUGAAAUAAGUCUGGAGCCCACAAGAGCAAUCUUGGCUACAGACACAAAUAUAUUAGGACACAGGUAGAUUUCAAAGCCAUGAAGGGAGAUGAGGAGAUCACACAGAAGAAUCAACAGAGUGAGAAAAGAGUCAAGUUUUGAAGCCCAAUCAACACCAAAUUUAAGAUCAAGAACCUAUCGAGAGAUACUAGAGCUUAAAGGAUCACUGGCCGGGUGUGGUGGCUCACACCUCUAAUCCUAGCACUUUGGGAGUCCAAGGCGGGUGGAUCACGAGGUCAGAAGAUCGAUACCAUCCUGGCUAACAUGGUGAAACCCCAUCUCUACUAAAAAUACAAAAAAUUAGCUGGGGGUGGUGGCGGGCGCGUGUAGUCCCAGCUACUCGGGAGGCUGAGGUAGGAGAAUCACUUGAACUCGGGAGGUGGAGCUUGCAGUGAGCCAAGAUUGCGUCAUUGCACUCCAGCCUGGGCGACAGAGCAAAAAAAAAAAAAAAAAAAAAAAGAGAGAGAUUAAAGGAUCAGAAGACAGGAGGAUCAGAAACACUGAAGUUUUAAGAAGUGGGUGGCCAACAGUGUCGGCUGAUACAAGGAAUACAAGGCUUAAAAAAGUAAGUCCACUGAGGCUGGGCUCAGUGGCUCACACUUGUAAUCCCAGCACUUUGGGAGGCCGAGGCAGGCAGGUCACCUGAGGUCAGGAGUUCAAGACCAGCCUGGCCAACAUGGUGAAACCCCGUUUCUACUAAAAAUAAAAAAAUUAACCAGGCAUGGUGGCGGGUGCCUGUAAUCUCAGCUAUUUGGGAGGCUGAGGCAGGAGAAUUGCUUGAACCCAGGAGGCAAAGGUUGCAGGGAGCCCAUAUCACACCACUGCACUCCAGCCUGGGUGACAAGAAGGAGACUUUGUCUCAAAAAAAGUCCACUGAAAUCAGCAUGUAAAAAAAAAACAUGGGUAAUCUGUCAGGGUAAUUACUACAGUGAUAAGAACAGUGGACUUAAAUGUGAGUGAGAAAUGAUACAGCACAGUCAGCUGGAACAAAAACAACAGAUGACAAUUACUGCCCUUACUUUGAGUCAGAGACUGUUCUAAGUGCUUCUUGCAUAUUAGCUCAUUGAAUCCUUGUUAAGUAUUUCCAUGUUUAAAGCCAGGCACAGUGGCAUGCACCUAUAGUCCCAGCUUUUUAGAAGGCUGAAGAGAAAGGAUCAUUUGAGGCCAGGAGUUCAAGGCUGUAGUGCACUAUGAUCACACCUGUGAAUAGCUAGAGCAACACAGCAAGACCACAUCUCUUAAAAAACAAAACACUCCAUAUUUUUUAAAUCUCUAUUGUUUUCUUGGUUUCACACAGUGGAAAAUAGAGGCAGAGAGGUUAAAACAAUUUGCUCAAGAUCACACACUGGAUAAUAAAAUUGGAAUUUCAUUCCAGGCAAUCUAACUACCACUGCCAUGGUAAUAAACCAUUCUCUUCAAAACUGGGCAGUAAAGGAAGAAUGGUGAAACAAAAUGUAUUAAGGUUUUACUACAUGAUAGGUGUAUCUCGAACCUGGAAAUGCUGAAACAGUGGUUUGUUUUUUUUUUUUGGUUUGUUUUAGCUUUAAAGAGACAAAAGAGUUGCAUGCAGCAUGGAGGAAAGAGGUAGUAAUCUAAUAGAAAGGAAGCAUUAGAGCAGGGUUUCCCAGCCUCAACACUGUUGUCAUUUGGGGCUGGAUCACUCUUGGUUAUGGGAGGCUGCCCUGUGCACUGUGAGAUGUUUAGCAGCAUCUCUGUCAUUCACCCACUAGAUGCCAGUAGCACCCUUUCCUCCCAGUUGUGACAAAAAUAUCUGCAGCCAUCACCAAAUGUCUUCUAGGGGGUAAAACUGUCCCUGGUUGAGAACCACCAGAUUAAAGUAAGGGAGGACCAUGGAGAGAGCAAGUUCUGCAGAACAGAAUGGGACCCAAAGAGCAAACUAUGUCUGUAUAAAGUGGCAAUAAUUUUGCUAAUGAUCAAACACAAAAUUAAUUACCUUUAUGUCUGGAUCUAACAGCUGGUUCUUCAACAACUCAAAGUCAUUUGUUUCACCCUUAACAAGAAGGGGAAAGAAUUAAGUUAUGCUUUUGUUUCCUGUUUAGUAUCAACAGCAAGACUUUUAACCGUACUUUAACAUCAGAUGAAAUUAUAAAAGGAACACUAACUUUCACAUGUCAAUUGCGGAUUAUAAAAUCAUGACUACAAAAAUUUAAACACUCAUGUUAGUGCAGCCAGAGGGCUUGGAAAAAGGAAAAUGAUAAACUACAUUUAGCUAUACUUCUGUAUUGACAUUUGAAUAUAAUAGUUGAUACUCCUGCGAAUUCUCAAAAAGCAUGAGGGGAAAAAACAGCCAGCUCUAAUGAUCUAAUUCAGGAGGAUCUAAAAAAGUAUUCACUCAAAUAUGGAUACAAAUGGAUAUUUCAUAUAAACAUACGGUUACUUAACAUUUUCCCUCUACUGCUGAGAUAUAGUAGAAAUGCUUCUAAACUACCACAAAAACAAAAAUCCC
rnacentral:lncRNA from 10 species